AAAAAUAAAACAACAGAAAAAAGAACCUACUGAUUACCAAAGAAAUCACUUUCUUGAAAACUACCUCUCAGCAAAACAGGCACUCUGCAUCUUCUCCUUAUCCUGGACACUCAAAUGAGAUUGUUCGAUUUGCAAGUCCCUCAAAAUACCUAAAUCAGGCCAGCAACAGACUCCUUAUUGAAAUUCUAUUUUUAUUUCUCCACGGACUAAAAGACACGGCUGAGCAUUCACAGGUCUGUGACCUUAGUUAUGAUUUGUUUUGCUACACACCCAUCUUUUAAUAUGUAUCUUUCAGGGAAGGCAAACAUUCUGGGUAAGUAUCAGAAGGCUGCAGCAUUCUGGGACUAUUUCACAGGAAGAGUAUGAAAAUGCUCAGGUCUCAAUUUCUUUUAUUUAAUUUUUUUAAUAUAAAAAGCAGGCAUAAAAUACAAUUACAUUACUACAAAGAUGCAACAAAAAUUUUUUAAAAAGAUCGGGGGGUACGAUUUUUGUUCAGAGGGGACAGCUGAUCAAAUAUUUACGAUUAUCUAAACCAUGCAAUUCAUAACUUAAUACAAUUCCAAACAAAACUCAUUACUAUGGGGAAGGUAAUCAGGGACAGGCCCCCCCAAGCAUAAUAUUCAGCACUGUCACACAGCGCCUAUUUUCAAAGUGCUUUGUGAAUCAACUAUGGUGUCUUCACGCCAGAGGGAAACUGGAGCCUUCUUCCAGGGGAGGAGACGUGAUUCAGUAGCAGUGUCGACACAGACCGAGAAACUCAGAAGUGACUUCCUCUCACAGAAUACUAAACAUGUUAUUUAAAGCAUGUUUCAAGAAAGUAAUACAGCGUCUAAGUUUCUCUAUUUUACCACCAGAAUCCUGUGGGAACAGAUUAACAACAGCAGCAAAAUUUCUUCAACUGUGGUUUGGCAAACCUAGAGUAUUUCUUUUUGAAGGUCUACAGAUGAACCGACACAAAAGACAUCGUUCAGAGCCAGAUUUGUGACUCCAGCACAGGUCAAUUUUAAAACACUCACCUUAUUUUAGAUUUCUCGGUAUCCUUUAGAAAGCUAAAGGCAUUUACAAAUUUCAGAUUUUUUAAAAACCUUGCUUCUAGAUAGCACGUUUUAAUACUUUUCAAAACCUCACUAUACAUUAAUUUUUACCAGUAACACCGGCACCAGUUUUCCUUCUACUUCGGUCUCGCUAUCCCCACUAAAGAAAAGUACAAAAUCCAACUAAGAAAAUCCCAGUAUUCACUACUUCUUAGUUCUCAAUAGGAGGUAUUUAUGGCUCUAGGAGAAAUCAGGUGUGAAGAAAUAAGCAACUUCCGGUCUUGCAUUUAUCCGGGAAGCUUUGGAGCCUCAAGAAAAAGAGAAGCUGGCCAAAAUCAGGUUGUUAAACCGAGUCAAUAUCGUAUUUAAUGAGUGCUGGGAAGAGGACAUUUGGAUAGGGGUAUGCAUUCAUGCACGUACAUGAAAUGAGCAAAAGGGUAAAAAGCAAACUCUUACCCAAGGUCAGAAUUUUUAUUAAGCGCAUUUCCAUUAGCUGGAGAAACGACCUAAAAACCCUUAUGUUAAACCAUAUAAUGUGAAGAAUCUCCAUGGGAGAGAUUUUUUCCCACCCCUUAGAAUACUUUCUUUUCCCCAAAAAACUUCACAUUAAUUUUCCUUGUAUAGUUGCAGCACACCAUGAUUCUCCAUAUUCUCUAAUAUAUACAGCAUUCAAAAUUUAAACUUUUGCCAUUUUUACUCAAAUAUUUCAAUUACUCAUGUGUAAACUUCAAAUUAUUUCACCUUAAUAAAGUUUAUUAAAAAUAUAUAUAUAUAUAUAUAUACUCUCCAAUUCAGAAUAAUAUGAUAGAACCUCCCAUAGUGUAACAAAAUCUUUAUAUAAAAUAUUAAUUCAGUCUCCUUUUAACAAGUCUAAUGAAUGGAAAUAUUUAUUCUAUAUAAAUUUUAUAUAGUUCUCAUUUUUAAAUCUUAAAAACAAAAAAACAAAACAAAAACAAAAACAAAACCCCAAAAAAACAAAAGCUGUGUCCCCAAGCCAGAACCGCAGAACAUCCCGGGGAGGGAAAUGGCAUGCGUGUCCGGACUCAGCACAGACAGCGUGAGAGAGCGUAGGCGGGACAAUGUGAGAAUGACAAGAUUCAGGUUUAGUCCAUCAGGCCAGAGGCCACGGUUCAAUUUCCACAACAGUGUCUAUAUUUUGGGGGUCUAACUCUUUAACCAUUUCUACACUGACCCCAAGGGGAGUCAAUGAAAAAGGUCUAUUUCCUUCACUGAAAUAUUAGAUGAUGUAUUUCAGUAUCACACCAACUCCGUAUGUAUAUAAAGAGACUAAUAAAAGACUACAUACUUUUUUCAAACUUAAUAACUUAGCAUUGAUGCAUACUGUAGCAGUAAAAAACACAUUUUUCUGGGAUAAUGAGAAAUAUGGCAGAAGUGGUCCUGCAUAACCUACAACUUUAACAUCACUUAAAAAAUAAAAAUCAAGUUAAGAGCCUUUGAGGCCACUUCUUCCUAGUCACCAGUUUUCUUAACCCAAUACUGAAAUAUUGCCAUACUCAGUUGUGUGUUUGAGGGAUCACAUUUAAAUAUUUAAAAUAUAUCUACAGUAUGUCUUAGUUUUCUUUAUAUUUGAGAUAAUCUUAGAAUCUUGAGUGUGAAAAUGUAGAAACAGUCACAAAUGUCUCUGCCAGAAAUAAAAACACAUCUAGGGUAGCCAGCAAAUUCAAAGCGAAGCAAACAUUUCCUACUCAUACACUAAUACUGAGGUCUGUAAGCAGAGUGGGAUGAAUAAUAAACAUAAAAGAUAUAUUAGUUCCAAUAUUAUCCAUUAUUGUUUCUAUCACGGGUACUUAAAAAAAAAUUCUGUUAUACAAUCAAGAUAGUCUGACACUGAUAACUAUUACAUGUAAAAAUAGUGCACUAUUUUUCUUUUGCAAAGCGAAUUUGCAUCCUAAGAGCUGGUAAACACUUUUUGUUCAAAAUACAGAAAAAGGUGAGACAUUAAAAAAAAUUAAAUUAAGGCAUUCAAAAUGGGUAAAGUUGCCUAUCAUGAAGCAUUAGGAAACUGAUAGAAUUAACUUCAAACUUCUUGUUACAGUAACUGCUUAAACAUGAUCAUGCAGCUUCCAUGGGGUAUACACAAAUGAGGGAUACAAACUUCAACGUUAUGGCUUUAUACAAGUGCAUAGUUGCAACUGCAGUUUGUUAUGAUAUCUGAUUACUGUAUGUAAAAAAAUAAAUGGGACAUUUGAAGAACCCUCUUGCAGUAAUACAGUACUAUGUAUAUGUGUGUGUGUGGGGGGGUUAUAAUGGUCACUUCUUAAAGAUGCAGUCUCCAUCACUGUAGUGGAACCCAUUCCCAGACUCUUCUGGUGAAUGUGCUGGUGAAAUCUCUCUGUUGAAGCUGAAAAGAUGAUUUCUUUAACUCUUCUCAAGCCUUUUGUGCAAUGUAGUGUGAGUGACUGCCAAGAGAGCUUCAUGGAACAACUGUGGAAGAGUUGCAUGAUAUUCUUACUCUAUUAACCAAUCACUGUUGGUUCAACAUGUUGCUCCAAAGGAGAGCAGAAAAUCUCCAAGAUUUAUAAUUUAUAUUGCAGGAAUAAAGGGAAAUGUGUGUGUGUGUGUGUGUGUGUGUGUGUGUGUGUGUGUGUGUGUAUCAGUCUCUCAGGAAAAUAUAGCUUUUUAAGAAAUUUUGGGCCAUCAUAUUUCAGUCUUGUUUUAACUGGAAGAAUAUGACCACCU